rnacentral:rRNA from 1 species
AUUGAACGCUGGCGGCAGGCCUAACACAUGCAAGUCGAGCGAGCGGCGGACGGGUGAGUAAUGUCUGGGAAACUGCCUGAUGGAGGGGGAUAACUACUGGAAACGGUAGCUAAUACCGCAUACCAUCGGAUGUGCCCAGAUGGGAUGAGCUAGUAGGUGGGGUAACGGCUCACCUAGGCGACGAUCCCUAGCUGGUCUGAGAGGAUGACCAGCCAACCUGGAACUGAGCCACGGGCUAGACUCCUACGGGAGGCAGCAGUGGGGAAUAUUGCACAAUGGGCGCAAGCCUGAUGCAGCCAUGCCGCGUGUAUGAAGAAGGCCUUCGGGUUGUAAAGUACUUUCAGCGGGGAGGCGUUACCCGCAGAAGAAGCACCGGCUAACUCCGUGCCAGCAGCCGCGGUAAUAC